rnacentral:rRNA from 1 species
UACGGAGGGGGCUAGCGUUGUUCGGAAUUACUGGGCGUAAAGCGCACGUAGGCGGCUUUGUAAGUUAGAGGUGAAAGCCCAGGGCUUAACCCUGGAAUUGCCUUUAAGACUGCAUCGCUAGAAUUGUGGAGAGGUAAGUGGAAUUCCGAGUGUAGAGGUGAAAUUCGUAGAUAUUCGGAGGAACACCAGUGGCGAAGGCGGCUCACUGGUCCGGUACUGACGCUGAGGUGCGAAAGCGUGGGGAGCAAACAGG